rnacentral:rRNA from 1 species
GGAGUCAAAUCCUACCAAAUCCUGAUGAACUCCGAAUGCUAACAGAUUACUCCGGGAGUGAGGGCUAGGGUGCUAAGGUCCUGGUCCGAGAGGGAAAGAACCCAGACCUACGGCUAAGGUCCCUAAAUCCGCGCUAAGUUGAACUAAGGAGGUCCAAUUGCUUAGACAGCCAGGAUGUUGGCUUGGAAGCAGCCAUUCAUUUAAAGAGUGCGUAACAGCUCACCAAUCGAGAGAUUUUGCGCCGAUAAUAUUCGGGACUAAAGACUAGAGCCGAAAUCGCGGAUUCACAUGUUUACAUGUGAGUGGUAGGAGAA